UUAUUUAAAAAUGAAUUUUACACUAUUUUACUAUACGAUUUUAAAAUAUACCUACUGUCGAAAAGACAAUAAUUUAAUAACAAUUAACCGACUAUUAUAUUGCAUUGAUUAUAUAACAUAAGUGUACAUGAAAAUGAUCGUUAAAUUUCUUUAAUAAAUAGUUACUUCCCGUUGUGUUACAGCCGUUGUAGGUAUAAAAUGAGAUAUUUUUAAUUGAUCGACCGACCGACGACCUUCAUAUUAUUUUAUUGGAUUUUGUGUCGCACGGGAGAACGAAUUCAUGAUCCCAGAUUUCCAGGUGUACGAGUUAAAUGGGAAUAAUGAACGUCUAUGUUUCUAACCAACUGAACAGGGUAAGCGUGGCCGGGCGAUUUCCACCAAAGUGUAACUUCCUCUUUUUCACAAAAACCAUGUUAUUUACCUCACUAUUGAUUCAAUAAAUGUUUAGCGACCUAAAUACCUAAAUAAUGAAAAAUUGAUCAUGCAACCCGGCAUAGGUAUAAUAUUAUUAUAAACAAUAUACAUACUAUAAGUUAGAAAA